CCCUUAGAUGUCCUGGGCCGCACGCGCGCUACACUGAUGCAUGCAACGAGUUUAUAACCUUGGCCUGAAAGGUCUGGGUAAUCUUUUGGACGUGCAUCGUGAUAGGGAUAGAUUAUUGCAAUUGUUAAUCUUGAACGAGGAAUUCCUAGUAAACGCGAGUCAUCAGCUCGCAUUGAUUACGUCCCUGCCCUUUGUACACACCGCCCGUCGCACCUACCGAUUGAAUGGUUCGGUGAAGAUCUCGGACUUCGAUAUUUAUUCUUUAUUGAGUUUAUAUUGUGGGAAGUUAUCUAAACCUCAUCAUUUAGAGGAAGGUGAAGUCGUAACA
rnacentral:rRNA from 1 species